rnacentral:lncRNA from 1 species
GGAGAACAAAAACAAAAAAUGUAUAACCAUAAAGUAACACCAAGUUGUUUAAUUUACCACACAAUGAGACAAUUAGAGCAUACUGGUCUUGUGCAUUAAAACGAGUACAGAACGAUGAUUGUAACUUGGAACCUUGGAAUGGAGGUACCUCAGACAUUCAUUAGAACGAGUACAGAACCAUGAUUGUAUAUUGGAGCCUUGGAAGGGAGCUACGUCAGAGAUUCAUUAGAACGAGUAGAGAACCAUGAUUGUAAUUUGGAGUUUGGAAGGGAGCUCCUCAGAGAUUACAUACACUUGAAACUCUCUAAGGUGCAAGACACAUCUGUCUCUCAGAUAUGACGCUUCUUAACCUUUGAGCC